GCAGGGCAGAGAUGGACUAACAGAACAUAUUUUGAAGGGCAGAAUACUAAGCUUAGGAAUGCAUCUGAUGUAUUCAAAGGUAGAGAUAAUUGGCUUGCUUUGAUCUCCAAACCAACAGCAGCCUUACAAUGAUUAUUUGACAACUGAUUUAUGAUGCCCCUAUCCAGUGAUUUGAAAAUGUCAUGUUAAAGCGCAAUUCUACAUAGCUCAUCUUGGCCUGUUGGUUGAGAGCUUAUGCUUCUAUCUAAGAGGUAUUGGGUUCGAGUCUCUGUGUAUGUGUUGUGUUGAGUUUGCCUUAAAUGGCCUAAAUGUCCCAAAAAAUAGCUCACCUUGGCAUGUUGGUUGAGAGCUUAUGCUUCCAUCUAAAAGGUCUUGGGUUUGAGUUUCUGUGUAUGUGUUGUGUGUUGAGUUUGCCUUAAAUGACCUAAAUGUCCCAAAAAAAAAAAGCGCAAUUCUAAACACAUAAGAGGCCACUAAUCGAAAUUUCUAAAGACAAUGAGCUUAAAAGCUGAUCCUUCAUGUAAUUCAAUUGAAAUAGUAAAAUACUUGGUCAAAUCAUUUUAUGUUUAAACACAAGGAACACCUGCGCGCGCGCGCGCACACACAUAUAUAUAUAUCCUUGAAGACUUGAAUACAACUUUCUUUUCUAAAACUCUACAAAACAUUUCUCCAUCAAACAUCUUAUUAAAUUUAUAGCAUUUUGCCGUAUCUUAAAAUUGAUUUUGAGAAAUAUUAGUAUCUAGUCUUUAAUAUUGGCUAAAAAACUCUCCUAUAGUUUUAAAGUAAGACACAUUUACUUAGUUCUUCUAUACUUAGUAUGCUUUUUGUAUCACCUUUAUUCUUAAAAAUAAGAAUCAACACAUUUUCCUCCACUCAUAUGGCAUCUUUUUUUCUUCAAACUAACGUUGAAAACUUUAAUAGGCCAUUUUUUUUUUCAAUCUUCAAAACAUUUCCGCUUCUCUGUUGGAAUAUUAUCAGGUUAAAUAGCUUUUUUCAUA